CUGCAUCCACUGAUAGACCUUUGAACAGUUUCCUGUUCUUUGGUUUGCACUAGGAUGCAAGAGGAAAAAAUCCUUGCGCUUUCUGUCUGUCUUUGUGGCAGCCCAGAUUGAAUAAGGGAUUACAUCU
ensembl:snoRNA